AGGCCAAUUUGAUUGGAAAAAGUAUGAGAAUUCAGAUUACAGAUUGGGGAUUCGAACGGCAACAAAAGAUCUGCUAAAACAUGAAUGAAAAAUACAGAACCGAUUCUACAAUACCUAUCCGUACUGUGAGCUAGGGUUGGCUGUAGAAAUGGCUAGAGAUGGCCAAUUUGAUUGGAAAAAGUAUGAGAAUUCAAAUUACAGAUUGGGGAUUCGAACGGCGACAAAAGAUUUGCAAAAACAUGAAUGAAAAAUACAGAAUCGAUUCUACUAUACCUAUCCGUACUGUGAGCUAGGGUUGGCUAUAAAAAUGGAUAGAGAUUGCCAAUUUGAUUGGGAAAAGUAUGAGAAUUCGAAUUACAGAUUGGGGAUUCGAAUGGCGACAAAAGAUCUG
rnacentral:lncRNA from 1 species